rnacentral:rRNA from 1 species
UACGGAGGAGGCAAGCGUUAUCCGGAAUUAUUGGGCGUAAAGCGUCCGCAGGUGGCACUUCAAGUCUGUCGUCAAAGACUGGGGCUUAACCCCGGAAAGGCGGUGGAAACUGAAGCGCUAGAGUGCGGUAGGGGUAGAGGGAAUUCCCGGUGUAGCGGUGAAAUGCGUAGAGAUCGGGAAGAACAUCGGUGGCGAAAGCGCUCUACUGGACCGCAACUGACACUGAGAGACGAAAGCUAGGGGAGCGAAUGGG